rnacentral:rRNA from 1 species
UACGUAGGGACCGAGCGUUGUCCGGAAUCAUUGGGCGUAAAGCGCGCGUAGGCGGCCCGGUAAGUCCGCUGUGAAAGUCAAAGGCUCAACCUUUGAAUGUCAGCGGAUACUGCCGGGCUAGAGUCCGGAAGAGGCGAGUGGAACUCCUGGUGUAGCGGUGGAAUGCGCAGAUAUCAGGAAGAACACCAACGGCGAAGGCAGCUCGCUGGGACGGAACUGACGCUGAGGCGCGAAAGCGUGGGGAGCGAACAGG